UCAGAUAGAUGAUUUGCAACUAUAUUCUCCCAUUCCAUAGAUUGCCUUUUUACUCUGUUGAUUUUUGAUACACAAAAGUUUUUAAGUUUGAUGAGGUCUGAC